UCGGUGUGAGAUGGACCCGCGUUGGAUUAGCUAGUUGGCAGGGUAACGGCCUACCAAGGCGACGAUCCAUAGCCGGCCUGAGAGGGUGAACGGCCACAUUGGGACUGAGACACGGCCCAAACUCCUACGGGAGGCAGCAGUGGGGAAUAUUGCACAAUGGGGGAAACCCUGAUGCAGCGACGCCGCGUGAGUGAAGAAGUAUUUCGGUAUGUAAAGCUCUAUCAGCAGGGAAGAAAAUGACGGUACCUGACUAAGAAGCCCCGGCUAACUACGUGCCAGCAGCCGCGGUAAUACGUAGGGGGCAAGCGUUAUCCGGAUUUACUGGGUG
rnacentral:rRNA from 1 species